rnacentral:pre_miRNA from 1 species
ACAACAACAUUCGGACCGUCGGUCUACCGAGCAAUAUCACCAGCUCGGUGGAAGAUCUUCCCUUUGUCGUAUAUC